AUGUAUAGCAUUGCUACUUGCACCAUUGUAAAAAUGAUGCAAGAUCGACUAUGUUGAAUAAAAUUCUAGGUAGAAUUUUGAUAAUGACAUUAUCUACCUAUGUGUCUUGACCAAAUUACGUGCCAGCAGUCGCGGUAAUACGUAGAAGACUAGUGUUAUUCAUGUUUAAUCGGUUUAAAGGGUACCUAGACGGCAGAUCAAGCUUACAAUAAAUCAAAUAUUAAACAAAAGGACUAAUCUGCUAGAGUUACUUCUGAGGGGGCUAUAAAGUACUACUGGUGUAGAGAUGAAAUUCUAUGAUACCUUUUUUCGAGAGAAAAGCUAUGGCACAGGUAUAGGCGAAGGCAUCCCCUUAUGGGAUAACUGACGUUGAAGGACGAAGGCUUCGAUUAACGAACAGGAUUAGAUACCCUGGUAGUUGAGGCAGUAAAUGAUGAAUGUCAUAGAUUAGAUAUAUAAGUUUAUUCUAUAAAUGAAAGUGUAAGCAUUCCACCUCAAGAGUAAUUUGGCAACAUUGGAACUGAAAUCAUUAGACCGUUUCUGAAACCAGUAGUGAAGUAUGUUGUUUAAUUUGAUUAUCCGCAAAAAACCUUACCCCAACUUGAAUAUUUAUAUUAUUUAUUGUUAUCUCAUUAAUUUUCUUCCUUUUAUUUCAUGCUUGAACAAUUUAAUUAAAAAAUCCAGAAAUUGUUCGUGAUGUAAACAGGAUAAAAUUUACGUGAGGCAAUAACAUAUAUUUACAACUGCUGCACGGCUGUCUUCAGGUAAUGCCGCGAGGCUAUGGUUAGUUCCAUUAAUUAACGUAAACCCUUACAUUAUUUUUAUAUCGAGUAGUUCCCCACUAGAUGGAUGGAUA
rnacentral:rRNA from 1 species